rnacentral:lncRNA from 1 species
GGAACCGCGGGCACGGCGGGGCAGGGAGCGCGCCCGGGGCUGGGAGACUCAGGGGCGGGGCAGCCCCGGGACAGCGCCGGGACAGCGCUGGGAUUGGACUGGGAUAGCCCGGGACAGCGCCGGGACAGCGCCGGGACAGCGCUGGGAUUGGACUGAGGAGGGCCAGAAGGAAUGAAAUCCAUCGUGGCUCAGCCUGGGCUGGUGAAAGCGAGCUGGGAAAGGCAGGAGCAGGGAUUCCAGCAUUUCCCUGAACCACAGGAAAAUCCUGGGAACGGAGAGGAGCAGAGAGGGGGAGAUUCCGAAUGGGGAUUUGGAGCAUCCAGCCAGUUUUACUGGGACUCCUUUCAAGGGCUGCCCGGAGCCCCCCGCGGUAAAUAGUGCACAGCUCGGGCCAGGAGGAUUUCCUCACCGCUGGGACUCUUAAUGUCGAAAGCAGAGGUGUCAAACAAGGGGCUCAAAGCCCCGUGGUGGCCCCGGAGAGUUCCACAUCUGGCCUGGAUCUCGGUGCUUAACACGUUUUAACUCUUGCCCCGAGCAGCUCCGGAUUUCCCUCGGCAGCCCGGGUUAGGUUUGAUUUAAGAGGCUGCAAGGAAAAGCCAAAAUAAAAA